rnacentral:rRNA from 1 species
GGACAUAACAUAAAAGUGGAGGCUAUUGUAACUGAAGAGAACUGGAAAGUUCCACCGUAGAAGGUAAUAGUCCUGUAAGUGAAACGAGAAGACCACGAGUUAUGAUCCAGAGUACCACGAGACACGUGAAACCUUGUGGGAAGCAGGGAGGACCACCUCCCAAGGCUAAAUACUACCUGAUGACCGAUAGUGAAGCAGUACCGUGAGGGAAAGGUGAAAAGAACCCCGGGAGGGGAGUGAAAUAGAACCUGAAACCGUGUGCCUACAACCGCUCAGAGCCCCUUAUGAGGGUGAUGAGGUGCUUUUUGUAGAACGAGCCAACGAGUUACGGUAUGUAGCAAGGUUAAGUACUUAAGGUACGGAGCCGAAGGGAAACCGAGUCUGAAUAGGGCGACUAGUUGCAUGCCGUAGACCCGAAACCGGGUGACCUAUCCAUGGCCAGGUUGAAGCGAGGGUAAAACCUCGUGGAGGACCGAACCACGUUGCUGUUGAAAAAGCAUGGGAUGAGCUGUGGAUAGCGGAGAAAUUCCAAUCGAACCCGGAGAUAGCUGGUUCUCUCCGAAAUAGCUUUAGGGCUAGCGUCGAGUAUGAGUAGUGGAGGUAGAGCACUGAAUGGGCUAGGGGGCAUAGCGCUUACCGAACCUUAUCAAACUCCGAAUGCCACAUACUUUGAGCUCGGCAGUCAGACUACGAAUGAUAAGAUCCGUGGUCAAAAGGGAAACAGCCCAGAUCGUCAGCUAAGGUCCCAAAGUGUAAGUUAAGUGGGAAAGGAUGUGAGAUUUCUAAGACAACUAGGAUGUUGGCUUAGAAGCAGCCAUUCAUUAAAAGAGUGCGUAAUAGCUCACUAGUCGAGAGAUCUUGCGCCGAAAAUGUAACGGGGCUAAACUUACCACCGAAGCUACGGGCUUGAACUUAGUUCAAGCGGUAGGAGAGCGUCGUAACCGGGCUGAAGUCGUACCGUAAGGAGCGGUGGACUGGUUACGAGUGAGAAUGUUGGCAUCAGUAGCGAGAUGUGGGUGAGAAUCCCACAGGCCGAAAACCUAAGGUUUCCUCAGGAAGGUUCGUCCGCUGAGGGUUAGUCGGGACCUAAGCCGAGGCCGAAAGGCGUAGGUGAUGGACAACUGGUUGAUAUUCCAGUACCACUACCAUCGUUAUUAUCGAUGGCGUGACGCAGGAGGAUAGUGUGUGCUAGC